AGGACAUUUGCAAUAUCUUUUAUGGUAAUCUCCUUUGUUUAUUCUUCUUCAAUUAUUUAUAAAUUUUAGUCCUGCACUAAAUUAUGGUUCUACUUAUGAGUUAACAAACAUGUGCAAAGUAAGAUAGCUACAUUAGCUAAUCUAACCAUUUAUAGCAUUGAGGCAUGUGUUUAUUUUUUAGAAUUAAUAGAUAUCGUGUCUUCUUACCUUAACCGUGCAUCUCUCACCUCCUUUCUUUGUCUGCUAUAUGCUUGUUUAUUUGUUAUGUGACAACAUAUGGAUUGUGCAAGAGCUCGUGGGAUCUCGUACUUCCUCCUGUCUCUUCAGAAAAUCAAUAUCCUUUAUUUUAUGAACCAUGUACUAACGUGGUGUUUUCAUGAAAUUUGUAGUGUGUACGUCACAUUUUGUGGU
rnacentral:misc_RNA from 1 species